CAGGUUGUGUCACACCUUUUCCUGAACUUUGGCUCAAUUGAAGAAGGAAACUUUCAGGGGAAUUCCAAUAGUAAACAACAGAACCAGCAGUUUUACAAUAAACUGCAGAGCUCCAUUUCAAAACACAAAAAUAGAGCGUCUCUGCAGUGAUGUACUGCCUUAAGGAAGGGUGAUAUGCCUGCUUCCACUUCGCCUUCAGCCAUGAUUGCAAGUUUCCUGACACUUCCCUAGAAGCUGGGCAGAUGCUAGCAGAUGCUUCCUGUACAGCCUACAAAAC
rnacentral:lncRNA from 1 species